rnacentral:lncRNA from 1 species
AUGCCCGCAGCUCCAAAGGCAGUGGUCACUGUCUCCUGUCGCUUGGAUCCCUUGGUUGGGUUUGGGGCUAAAUGUCAGGGGUUCUUGGUGCCAACCUCGUUCUGCACCAUUUCCUCUCAGUCAGCCAGUCAGCCGUCCACGUGUACAAAUACUGUGCUGAGCAUUGUUCAUGUUCUGGGGACACAUGGUGAGCAUGACAGGAGCAACCCUGCACUCGAUGAACCCAGAGGCUAAGGGACCCAUCCAAGGGCAGCUUCAGGGUGUCCAGCCUGGGGCAAUGUGGGUGGACUGAGGGCUAGACCCACCACAAGGAAUCUUGUGGUGUCCUAGUCCAGACAAGCCAAGCUCUCUCCGUCCAAUGGCAGAGCCGGAGGUAGGCCAUAUAGAUGCUGUUGGCUUCCCACCCCAAACCAAGGACUUCAGCUUCAAGCUCCUGAACCUCUUGACCAGGAGGGUUACUCUGGCACUGUGAACAUGACUGGCACUUAUGUGACCUGAGUAGAUGCCCCAGGAGCAGCCUGCAAAUGACACUGAAGGUAAAUAUGAAGCUUCCUCCCCUCUCAGUGGGGCUCUUCUGACAGUGUUCCCCUGCUUCUCCUCCCAGUAGGAUGCCACUCCAGUGGCCCAGAGGGAUAACCUGCUCAUAAAUGUGUCUGUGUUGC